UAGGGAAUCUUCGGCAAUGGACGAAAGUCUGACCGAGCAACGCCGCGUGCGUGAAGAAGGUUUUCGGAUCGUAAAACUCUGUUGUUAGAGAAGAACAAGGACGUUAGUAACUGAACGUCCCCUGACGGUAUCUAACCAGAAAGCCACGGCUAACUACGUGCCAGCAGCCGCGGUAAUACGUAGGAGGCAAGCGUUGUCCGGAUUUAUUGGGCGUAAAGCGAGCGCAGGCGGUUACUUAAGUCUGAAGUGAAAGCCCCCGGCUCAACCGGGGAGGGUCAUUGGAAACUGGGAGACUUGAGUGCAGAGGAGGAGAGUGGAAUUCCAUGUGUAGCGGUGAAAUGCGUAGAUAUAUGGAGGAACACCAGUGGCGAAGGCGGCUCGCUGGACUGUAACUGACGCUGAGGCUCGAAAGCGUGGGGAGCAAACAGG
rnacentral:rRNA from 1 species